rnacentral:rRNA from 1 species
GGACGCCAGUUCAUGUGGAGCCAACGUUGAAAUACCACUCUGGUCGUACUAGAUGUCUAACCUAGGUCCGUUAUCCGGAUCAGGGACAGUGCCUGAUGGGUAGUUUAACUGGGGCGGUUGCCUCCUAAAAUGUAACGGAGGCGCUCAAAGGUUCCCUCAGAAUGGUUGGAAAUCAUUCGCAGAGUGUAAAGGCACAAGGGAGCUUGACUGUGAGACAGACAUGUCGAGCAGGGACGAAAGUCGGGACUAGUGAUCCGGCGGCACAUUGUGGAAUGGCCGUCGCUCAACGGAUAAAAGGUACCCCGGGGAUAACAGGCUGAUCUUGCCCAAGAGUCCAUAUCGACGGCAUGGUUUGGCACCUCGAUGUCGGCUCGUCGCAUCCUGG